GAUGAAUCCAUUUUUCAUAAAAGAAUGCACUGUGAAGCCACGUGUUCACGGGUAAAUAUGGAAAUUGUUGAAUAAUCACCCUUUUUUAAAAAUUAAUAUGUCCUUCAUACGUAACCUGAAAAUGAUGUCGGUUUGAAAAGGAGGCCGCCAAGACUCUGGGUGUAUCUAAAUGAAACAAAACUUUUACCUCGACGAAAUCAAAUCCUGGAAGAAUAAAAUAAGAACAAAUUCAAACUAUCAUGAAAAAUAAUGUAAUCACCGUUUACUUUUACUACACGACACACGAAGAGAGAAAAAGAGAGAAACACACACACAAAAAAAAGCAAAAAAACUGUUACCCCUCCCCCU